rnacentral:rRNA from 1 species
GUGAAGCGGCAAAAGCUCAAAUUUGAAAUCUGGCACCUUCGGUGUCCGAGUUGUAAUUUGAAGAAGGUAACUUUGGAGUUGGCUCUUGUCUAUGUUCCUUGGAACAGGACGUCACAGAGGGUGAGAAUCCCGUGCGAUGAGAUGCCCAAUUCUAUGUAAAGUGCUUUCGAAGAGUCGAGUUGUUUGGGAAUGCAGCUCUAAGUGGGUGGUAAAUUCCAUCUAAAGCUAAAUAUUGGCGAGAGACCGAUAGCGAACAAGUACAGUGAUGGAAAGAUGAAAAGAACUUUGAAAAGAGAGUGAAAAAGUACGUGAAAUUGUUGAAAGGGAAGGGCUUGAGAUCAGACUUGGUAUUUUGCGAUCCUUUCCUUCUUGGUUGGGUUCCUC